rnacentral:rRNA from 1 species
UACGUAGGGUGCGAGCGUUAAUCGGAAUUACUGGGCGUAAAGCGUGCGUAGGCGGUUCGUUAUGUCUGCUGUGAAAUCCCCGGGCUCAACCUGGGAACUGCAUCUGUGACUGCAUCGCUGGAGUGCGGCAGAGGGGGAUGGAAUUCCGCGUGUAGCAGUGAAAUGCGUAGAGAUGUGGAGGAACACCGAUGGCGAAGGCAGCCCCCCUGGGUCAAGAUUGACGCUCAUGCACGAAAGCGUGGGGAGCAAACAGG